rnacentral:rRNA from 1 species
AUCCUGUUAAGUCAGGCAACGAGCAAGACCCGUGCCCACAGUUGCCAGCAUACCCUCCGGGGUGAUGGGCACACUGCGGGGACCGCCGCUGCUAAAGCGGAGGAAGGUGCGGGCUACGGUAGGUUAGUAUGCCCCGAAUCAUCCGGGCUACACGCGGGCUACAAUGGUUGGGACAAUGGGCACCUACACCGAGAGGUGAUGGUAAUCUCCUAAACCCAGCCUUAGUUCGGAUUGAGGGCUGCAACUCGCCCUCAUGAAGCCGGAAUCCGUAGUAAUCGCGUAUCAAUAUCACGCGGUGAAUACGUCCCUGCUCCUUGCACACACCGCCCGUCAAACCAUGCGAGUGAGGUCUGAAUGAGGGCACGCUUUAUGGCGUGUUCGAAUUUGGGCUUCGCGAGUGGGGUUAAGUCGUAACAAGGU